GAAGGUGUAGUUCAGUUGGUUAGAACGCUACCUUGACAUGGUAGAGGUCGUUGGUUCGAGUCCAAUCAUCUUCACCA
rnacentral:tRNA from 1 species